UUAAAUUGAAGAGUUUGAUCAUGGCUCAGAUUGAACGCUGGCGGCAGGCCUAACACAUGCAAGUCGAGCGGAAACGAGUUAUCUGAACCUUCGGGGAACGAUAACGGCGUCGAGCGGCGGACGGGUGAGUAAUGCCUAGGAAAUUGCCCUGAUGUGGGGGAUAACCAUUGGAAACGAUGGCUAAUACCGCAUGAUGCCUACGGGCCAAAGAGGGGGACCUUCGGGCCUCUCGCGUCAGGAUAUGCCUAGGUGGGAUUAGCUAGUUGGUGAGGUAAGGGCUCACCAAGGCGACGAUCCCUAGCUGGUCUGAGAGGAUGAUCAGCCACACUGGAACUGAGACACGGUCCAGACUCCUACGGGAGGCAGCAGUGGGGAAUAUUGCACAAUGGGCGCAAGCCUGAUGCAGCCAUGCCGCGUGU
rnacentral:rRNA from 1 species